rnacentral:rRNA from 1 species
UCGAGCGGAAACGAUGGGAGCUUGCUCCCAGGCGUCGAGCGGCGGACGGGUGAGUAACGCGUAGGAAUCUACCCAGUAGCGGGGGAUAGCCAGUGGAAACGCUGAUUAAUACCGCAUACGCCCCACGGGGGAAAGGCCGGGAUCUUCGGACCGGUCACUAUUGGAGGAGCCUGCGUUGGAUUAGCUAGUUGGUGAGGUAAAGGCUCACCAAGGCCACGAUCCAUAGCUGGUCUGAGAGGACGAUCAGCCACACUGGAACUGAGACACGGUCCAGACUCCUACGGGAGGCAGCAGUAGGGAAUAUUGCACAAUGGGCGAAAGCCUGAUGCAGCCAUGCCGCGUGUGUGAAGAAGGCCUUAGGGUUGUAAAGCACUUUCAGUAAGGAAGAAAAAGUUGGGCUAAUAACCUGAUCUUAUGACAUUACUUACAGAAGAAGAUCCGGCUAACUCCGUGCCAGCAGCCGCGGUAAU